rnacentral:piRNA from 1 species
AAGCAGUCUGAUGACACCUCCC